UACGUAGGGUGCAAGCGUUGUCCGGAAUCAUUGGGCGUAAAGAGCGCGUAGGCGGUCCGGUAAGUCGGUUGUGAAAACUGGGGGCUCAACCCUCAGAGGCCGACCGAUACUGCCGGGCUAGAGUCCGGAAGAGGCGAGUGGAAUUCCUGGUGUAGCGGUGAAAUGCGCAGAUAUCAGGAGGAACACCAAUGGCGAAGGCAGCUCGCUGGGACGGUACUGACGCUGAGGCGCGAAAGCGUGGGGAGCAAACAGG
rnacentral:rRNA from 1 species